AUGUUUCCUUUAGGUAUCAGCUCCGUCUUCAUAACAAGACAGAGUGAAUUCUUUCAGCUCACCUUUUGGCCUGUCCUUUCUUGGUGGAUUUAUUUUAAGAAGAUGGAUCUGUCAGAGCUUGGAGAAGCUGCAGCCUUCCUCAGAAGAAGCGAGGCUAACUUGCCUUUGAUACCAGCCGUGGCUUUGAUGGUAAGAAUUGUAGUGGGUGCUGGUUUCACUUUAUUACUUCAAGUUUGUGACUAAGAUAUUUGAUUGAAAGGAACUAUCAAUUCUGGAGGCAAAUUUAUUUCC
rnacentral:lncRNA from 1 species